AGGUUUCCAUGAAGAAUAUCAGCUUCCAUAUUAUGAUCUUGUACCUUCAGACCCUUCAAUUGAAGAGAUGAGAAAAGUUGUUUGUGACCAGAAAUUACGGCCUAACAUACCUAACUGGUGGCAAAGUUAUGAGGCUCUUCGAGUCAUGGGGAAGAUGAUGCGAGAGUGCUGGUACGCUAAUGGAGCAGCUCGUUUGACAGCACUACGUAUUAAAAAAACAUUGUCACAGCUCAGCAUACAGGAAGAUGUGAAAAUCUGAAAACACAAGCAACCCCUGAGAAAAUGUGGAAAUAAUUCAUACAAGCUGCCAUGAUGUAGUACAUAUGAGGCCUACCUCAAUGUUUCAUCCCAAACAACUGCCAGUUGAACAAUGGGGCCUUUUUGGCCAAAUGAAAGUGAACAGCACACUACACAUUUAAUUCUAGGUUUGGGUAUGAAACUAAAAACCUUUAUUUCUAUUUCUUUGCCCCCUAAGAGCAUGAAGAUAUGGAAUCAACUUCAGGUAAUUACCAUAUUGCCUGAUUUUCGUUUUUUUCUAAACGAAAUUCUUACAGUGGCAUCUCUUUCAUCAGUGUAGGGUAAAAUCCACUUCAUCAUACUUGUUUGUCCAAAAUGGUUAGGGGUAUUGACCAGUGCAGCAGACCAUGCUCAUUUUCUUAACUGGUUCAGAUUCUAGUGAGCAAGCUGAGGUUUUUUUUGGACACUACCCUAAUCAAAGACAAGGAGCCCCCCCCCCCCCCUUUCCAGGAACUGUGAAAUCACUGUUCAGGCUUCACGAUAAAUCAUACUGGAGCUUGAGGAGAAACACCACAGUCCACGUAGACCCACUUCCAUGCAUGUGCAAGGGUGUGUGUAGCUUUUUUGACCUGUGUUUUGUAGGUGCACACGUGUACAUGUGAGCUUGUCUGCAUGCGCAAAUAUUAAGCUCCCCUUUUUGAGGUGUCAGUAUGUUGGUCACCUUUGUGACACUUCAUGUAAAAAUCGCGUACAGGGCCGCUUGUCACCUAGUUUUUUACAAAAUCCAACUUCACCAUACAACACCAUCUGCUUUCCAGAAGGAGGAGAUUCGUGCUGAUGAAAUCUUUUGGCAAUAGAAAUAUUUCAAUAAAAGACCCUCAGCUUGCGCUGUCCCAGAGGAUAUAAGAAGCGAGGACAACCUGCAAAAAUCCAUCAUCAUUUGUAAAUGAAUCUCAGGUGUCAAGCAUUUGCCAACAGCAGGGAUUUUAGAUGUUUGUGCUCAUUAAAUAAACAGUGGCAUGGGACUACAUGGCUUCUUCCAGCCUGCCCCCUGUAAGAUCUCUUCAUGCUUCAGAAAUGCUGUACAGAUAUCAUUUGGUGCAGAUUGGUAACUCUCACAUGAGCCUUAUCUGAACACCACUUAAACCAGGGCCUGACAAAGGUGGGAAAGAAGCAGGGUUUGUAUUUAAGUGACGUCACAUCGCAUUUUAUUACAGGAUCUUAGUUUGAUGGGAGAAUUUUGGUUCAGCAUCUAUAGUACAAUAACUCUAAAGCCAUAACUUUUAACUGGAGUGAUUUUUGUUUUUAUAUUUUAAGUUUUGGGGGGAGAGCAGGGAUUUUAACUUUUUUUAUUAAAUAUUUUAAUUCUUUGUAAAAAAGAAAAACAAAAAACAGAUAUCUCUCUAUAUAUAGAUAUAUACACACAUACGUAAAUAUAAAUAUUACCUCUCAGCCUAUUGUUUGUAUAGAAAUCACUACAGAAAAACCAAAUGCGCCAAGCUAUAUUUACACUGGAACUAUUUGUACUUAUACCUGGAAUUUUCUUCUAGAGGCUGGAAUGAAUCUAUACUUACGGUUACAUGUCACAUUUUUAUAAUACCAUGUUCUCAUUGUCUUCAGGUGUACACCAUUUUCUGUGUGUAUCCUUCAGGGGUUUUAGUGACGUGUCCAAAGUGAUUAUAUAUAAAUAUUUUUUCUGCUUUCUGUGCAGAACUGUUAAAUAAACUCCCAUUUAUCUUGCCUGGUG